rnacentral:rRNA from 1 species
AUUGAACGCUGGCGGCAGGCCUAACACAUGCAAGUCGAGCGAGCGGCGGACGGGUGAGUAAUGUAUGGGGACUGCCCGAUAGAGGGGGAUAACUACUGGAAACGGUAGCUAAUAACGCAUACUAUCGGAUAACCCAUAUGGGAUUAGCUAGUAGGUGGGGUAAUGGCUCACCUAGGCGACGAUCCCUAGCUGGUCUGAGAGGAUGAUCAGCCACACUGGGACUGAGACACGGUCCAGACUCCUACGGAGGCAGCAGUGGGGAAUAUUGCACAAUGGGCGCAAGCCUGAUGCAGCCAUGCCGCGUGUAUGAAGAAGGCCCUAGGGUUGUAAAGUACUUUCAGUCGGGAGGCGUUACCGGCAGAAGAAGCACCGGCUAACUCCGUGCCAGCCGCCGCGGUAAUAC